rnacentral:other from 1 species
AUUAUUCUGCUUAAUUCGCGGACUGUGUUCAUAUAACCCUACAAUUUUUUAUAGGGAGCUCGGUCUCCCGUAUCUAAUUGCAGACCUCCCGAUUGUUUGUCGGAUGAAGGGAGCGUGAGGAUACGGGGAGAGCACCCACCUGCUUAGGUAGCAGGUUAUUUCGAGCACGAUACGGUUAAGCGGAUUUUUA